GGAGGCAGUCUAAAAAUAUCGAAAUAGUCUCUUACACAAUGAGCUAAAUUUAUGGAGUGGUCUCAAAAUGUGUUGCCUUUCCUACAGGGACUCUAUCACAACAUAUACCAACUGUUACUGUUGCUCAGACUGUUAGAUCUGUAACCAUGGGAACAACAGUAACCCUUCAGUGUUCCAUUUGGGGUUAUCCAGCAUAUACCAGUGUGUUCUGACAGUUCACUCCUACCAAUGGCGGGACGACUACACUGACAAUAGACAAUGUCAACUAUGGAGGAGCAUCUGUCAACAGUCCUUCACUGGUCGUGUUCAAUACCAACAGUAGUGACCAGGAUACAUAUGUCGGUUUUGCCAGCAACCAAAUUGGAACAGGACAGAGUGAUCAGGUCUCCCUGUCAGUGACAGGAGCUCCCCCUACGGUAACAGUUGACUCCACUUCCUACUCCACUACUACAGGAUCAAACAUCACUCUCCAAUGUACUGUGUCCUCUAGCAUGGCCAUCAGAAAUGUCUUUUGGCAUCGUCGCAGUAAUGGCGUAAUCUCUGUAAUCACCAUUGAUAAUGUGAACUACUUUGGAGGCAGCACAAGUACGUCAUCCCUGACCACCAUCACGACGUCUCCUCUUCAGAUUCGAGAACAUACACCUGUAUUAGUUCGAAUUCUGCUGGAACAAGUUAUGCUACGACGGAAUUGACAGUAACCAGAAGUAAGUAUUAUCAGAACUGUGCUCGAUUUAGAUUCGAUUUCUGAAGAAUACUCAGUAAUACGUUCGAUUGAUAUCGAAGCACAUGCUUGCUCCGCUCCUACUUUAGUGGUAAUAUCAGUGGAAUCAAAUGUCAAAAAUCUUGUAGGCGAAUCAUAAAAAAUGGUAUACUUGAUCGUUAGCAAAAUCCUAAAACCUAUCUUAUUGUUAUGUAUCAAAUUUUGAAAAUACUUUUUGAAAUGUACAUGUUGUUUCAGUAUUGUUUUUU